CCUACGGGAGGCAGCAGUGAGGAAUAUUGGUCAAUGGCCGGAAUGCUGAACCAGCCAUGCAGCGUGAAGGUCAGUGCCCUAUGGGCGUUAAACUUCUUUUGUGCGGGAGCAAUACUGGUCACGUGUGGCCAGACGACAGUACCGUACGAAUAAGCAUCGGCUAACUUCGUGCCAGCAGCCGCGGUGAUUCGGGGGAUGCAAGCGUUUUCCGGAUUUUAUGGGUUUAAAGGGUGCCUAGGCUGUGAGGUAAGUCAGCGGUGAAAUGCCCCCGCUCAACGGGGUGAAGUGCCAUUGAUACUGGCUGGCUUGAGUGCGGAUGCGGUGGGAGGAAUGUGUGGUGUAGCGGUGAAAUGCAUAGAUAUCACACAGAACACCGAUUGCGAAGGCAUCUCACGAAUCCGCGAUUGACGCUGAUGCACGAAAGCGUGGGUAUCAAACAGGAUUAGAUACCCCUGUAGUC
rnacentral:rRNA from 1 species